rnacentral:rRNA from 1 species
GCAAGAUUAAAACUCAAAGGAAUAGACGGGGACCCGCACAAGUGGUGGAGCAUGUGGUUUAAUUCGAAGAUACGCGAAGAACCUUACCUAGCCUUGACAUUGAUAGAAUCCCGCAGAGAUGUAGGAGUGCCCUUCGGGGAGCUUGAAAACAGGUGCUGCACGGCUGUCGUCAGCUCGUGUCGUGAGAUGUUGGGUUAAGUCCCGCAACGAGCGCAACCCUCGUGAUUAGUUACUAACGGUUCGGCCGAGGACUCUAAUCAGACUGCCUCCGCAAGGAGGAGGAAGGUGAGGACGACGUCAAGUCAUCAUGGCCCUUACGGCUAGGGCAACACACGUGCUACAAUGGUUAGGACAGUGAGAUGCGAUACCGCGAGGUGGAGCAAAUCUAUAAACCUAAUCUCAGUUCGGAUAGCAGUCUGCAACUCGACUGCUUGAAGCUGGAAUCACUAGUAAUCGUAGAUCAGCUAUGCUACGGUGAAUACGUUCCCGGGUCUUGUACUCACCGCCCGUCACACCAUGGGAGUUGAUAUCACCCGAAGCGGGGAAGCUAAACUGGCUACCCUCCACGGUGGUAUUAGCGACUGGGGUGAAGUCGUAACAAGGUA